rnacentral:rRNA from 1 species
AGUGAACGCUGGCGGUAUGCCUAACACAUGCAAGUCGAACGGCAGCACAGUAAAAUCUUGCUCUUACGGUUGGCGAGUGGCGGACGGGUGAGGCAUACAGCGGAAUCUACUUUUUCGUGGGGGAUAACUGAGGACAACUUACGCUAAUACCUCAUACGACCUACGGGUGAAAUCAGGGGAUCUUGAUACCUUUCGCGAAUUAAUGAGCCGAUGUCGGAUUAGCUAGUUGGCGGGGUAAAGGCCCACCAAGGCGACGAUCCGUAGCUGGUCUGAGAGGAUGGUCAGCAACACUGGAACUGAGACACGGUCCAGACUCCUACGGGAGGCAGCAGUGGGGAAUAUUGGACAAUGGGCGCAAGCCUGAUCCAGCAAUCCCGCGUGGGUAAAGAAGGCCUUCGGGUUGUAAAGCCCUUUUGUUGGGAAAGAAAAGCAGCAGGUUAAUACGCCGCUGUUCUGACGGUACCUAAAGAAUAAGCACCGGCUAACUUCGUG